AAAGCGUGGCGUGACGUGCAGUUGUGUAAUUUCUUUGGGAAAGGAAUUUGCGUUUGGCUGAACUCCUUGGGAGACGAUCAAGCUAGGUCCUGAGUCAGGAUAAAGAGUUUUAUAACUUGGUUGUAAACUCGUGAAAUAGCUUGAGGUUGAUGGAAGCGAACGGAGGCCGUUUGUGUUAAAGAACUAUCAACACACCACAUACAUGCACACACAUUCGUAAUAUUCAGCCAUUCAGUCACCGCCAAAUUAAUCAAGUCCUUGCAGUCCGCCACGCGUGAUUGAGUUAAUAAAAAUAAAUACAGUCCACUAUCUCUUGAUGUGUUUGACCCAGGGGACUUGGUCCCCAA